ensembl:snoRNA small nucleolar RNA SNORD35
GGCAGAUGAUGUCUCUUCUCACGAUGGUCUUCGUAUGCCCCUGGGGGGCUCUGCCGACUGCCUAAAGCCAUGCUGAUGCCAGCUA